rnacentral:rRNA from 1 species
GGGUGAGUAAAAUGUAGAGAAUCUGCCCUAGAGCGGGGGACAACAGCUGGAAACGGUUGCUAAUACCCCAUAUGAGCGUAGUUGAGAUACUAUUCUUGAAAACUCCGGUGCUCUGGGAUGAGUCUGCAUCUGAUUAGCUAGUUGGGGGUGUAAUGGACCACCAAGGCGACGAUCGGUAGCUGGUUUGAGAGGAUGAUCAGCCACAAUGGGACUGAGACACGGCCCAUACUCCUACGGGAGGCAGCAGUAGGGAAUUUUGCGCAAUGGGGGAAACCCUGACGCAGCAACGCCGCGUGAUUGAAGAAGCCCUUCGGGGUGUAAAGAUCUGUCAGUGGGGACGAAACUUGACGGUACCCACAGAGGAAGCAUCGGCUAACUCCGUGCCAGCAGCCGCGGUAAUACGGGGGAUGCGAGCGUUGUCCGGAAUCAUUGGGCGUAAAGAGUUCGUAGGUUGCACGUUAAGUCUGGUGUUAAAUGCAGAAGCUCAACUUCUGUUUGGCACUGGAUACUGGCGAGCUUGAAUGCGGUAGAGGUAAAGGGAAUUCCUGGUGUAGCGGUGAAAUGCGUAGAUAUCAGGAGGAACAUCGGUGGCGAAAGCGCUUUACUGGGCCGUAAUUGAC